rnacentral:rRNA from 1 species
GACGAACGCUGGCGGCGUGCUUAACACAUGCAAGUCGAGCGGUAAGGCCCUUUCGGGGAUACACGAGCGGCGAACGGGUGAGUAACACGUGGGUGACCUGCCCUCAGCUCUGGGAUAAGCCUGGGAAACUGGGUCUAAUACCGGAUAUGACUUCGCAUCGCAUGGUGUGGGGUGGAAAGUUUUUCGGCUGGGGAUGGGCCCGCGGCCUAUCAGCUUGUUGGUGGGGUGAUGGCCACCAAGGCGACGACGGGUAGCCGGCCUGAGAGGGCGACCGGCCACACUGGGGACUGAGACACGGCCCAGACUCCUACGGGAGGCAGCAGGUGGGGAAUAUUGCGCAAUGGGCGGAAGCCUGACGCAGCGACGCCGCGUGGGGA